rnacentral:tRNA from 1 species
GGAGGUAUAGCUCAGUGGUAGAGUGUGUGCUUAGUAUGCAUGAGAUCUUGGGUUCAAUCCCUAAUAUCUCUA